rnacentral:rRNA from 1 species
ACCUACGGGGGGCAGCAGUAGGGAAUAUUGCUCAAUGGGGGAAACCCUGAAGCAGCAACGCCGCGUGGAGGAUGAAGGUUUUCGGAUUGUAAACUCCUUUUGUUAGAGAAGAUAAUGACGGUAUCUAACGAAUAAGCACCGGCUAACUCCGUGCCAGCAGCCGCGGUAAUACGGAGGGUGCAAGCGUUACUCGGAAUCACUGGGCGUAAAGAGCGCGUAGGCGGGAUAGCAAGUCAGAUGUGAAAUCCUAUGGCUCAACCAUAGAACUGCAUUUGAAACUGUUACUCUAGAGUAUGGGAGAGGUA